CUACGUGCCAGCAGCCGCGGUAAUACGGAGGGUGCGAGCGUUAAUCGGAAUAACUGGGCGUAAAGGGCACGCAGGCGGUGACUUAAGUGAGGUGUGAAAGCCCCGGGCUUAACCUGGGAAUUGCAUUUCAUACUGGGUCGCUAGAGUACUUUAGGGAGGGGUAGAAUUCCACGUGUAGCGGUGAAAUGCGUAGAGAUGUGGAGGAAUACCGAUGGCGAAGGCAGCCUCCUGGGAUAACACUGACGUUCAUGCUCGAAAGCGUGGGUAGCAAACAGGAUUAGAUACCCUGGUAGUCCACGCCCUAAACGAUGUCAAUUAGCUGUUGGGCAACUUGAUUGCUUAGUAGCGUAGCUAACGCGUGAAAUUGACCGCCUGGGGAGUACGGUCGCAAGAUUAAAACUCAAAGGAAUUGACGGGGACCCGCACAAGCGGUGGAUGAUGUGGAUUAAUUCGAUGCAACGCGAAGAACCUUACCUGGUCUUGACAU
rnacentral:rRNA from 1 species